UGGGGAAUAUUGGACAAUGGGCGCAAGCCUGAUCCAGCAAUGCCGCGUGUGUGAAGAGGGCCUUCGGGUUGUAAAGCACUUUUAUCAGGAGCGAAACGCUGUCGGCUAAUACCCGGCGGAACUGACGGUACCUGAGGAAUAAGCACCGGCUAACUUCGUGCCAGCAGCCGCGGUAAUACGAAGGGUGCAAGCGUUAAUCGGAAUUACUGGGCGUAAAGCGUGCGUAGGCGGUUUCUUAAGUCUGCUGUGAAAUCCCCGGGCUCAACCUGGGAAUGGCAGUGGAUACUGGGAGGCUAGAGUGUGUCAGAGGGUGGUGGAAUUCCCGGUGUAGCGGUGAAAUGCGUAGAGAUCGGGAGGAACAUCAGUGGCGAAGGCGGCCACCUGGGACAACACUGACGCUGAGGCACGAAAGCGUGGGGAGCAAACAGGAUUAGGAUACCCUGGUAGUCCACGCCCUAAACGAUGCGAACUGGAUGUUGGUCUCAACUCGGAGAUCAGUGUCGAAGCUAACGCGUUAAGUUCGCCGCCUGGGGAGUACGGUCGCAAGACUGGAAACUCAAAUGAAUUGACGGGGUCAUAGCUGUUUCCUG
rnacentral:rRNA from 1 species